CAUGCAACAUAAUACCACCAUGAGCAAACUAAUCCCGUUUGAUUUUGGAAGCUAAGCAGCUUGGUUAAUACUUGGAUGGGAAACCACCGGGUAAUACCAGGGAUUUCCAGGU
rnacentral:rRNA from 1 species